UACGGGGGGUCCAAGCGUUGUCCGGAUUUACUGGGCGUAAAGGGCGCGUAGGCGGGACGGUCAGUCGGAGGUGAAAUGUGCGGGCUCAACCUGCAGAUUGCCUUCGAUACUGCCGUUCUUGAGUGCAGAAGGGGAAAGUGGAAUACCUGGUGUAGCGGUGGAAUGCGCAGAUAUCAGGUAGAACACCGGUGGCGAAGGCGGCUUUCUGGUCUGACACUGACGCUGAGGCGCGAAAGCGUGGGGAG
rnacentral:rRNA from 1 species